CGAGAAAGCCCGCAAGGGUGAGUACAGCGGCGCACGGGUGCGUAACACGUGGGUAAUCUGCCCUGGAGCCCGGAAUAACUCUCCGAAAGGAGAGCUAAUGCCGGAUGAGCCCACGGGGUCUUAGGACCCUGAGGGAAAAGGUGGCCUCUGUAUACAAGCUAUCACUUCAGGAUGAGCCCGCGGCCCAUCAGCUAGUUGGCGGGGUAAUGGCCCACCAAGGCUACGACGGGUAGCUGGUCUGAGAGGACGAUCAGCCACACUGGAACUGAGACACGGUCCAGACUCCUACGGGAGGCAGCAGUGGGGAAUCUUGCGCAAUGGGCGAAAGCCUGACGCAGCAACGCCGCGUGUGUGAUGAAGGUCUUCGGAUCGUAAAGCACUGUCGCGAGGGACG
rnacentral:rRNA from 1 species